GAGGGUAUAGCUCAGUGGUUGAGCACAUGCUUAGCAUUCACGAAGUUCUGGGUCAAUCCCUGGUACCUCCA
rnacentral:tRNA from 1 species